AGUGAACGCUGGCGGCGUGCCUAAUACAUGCAAGUCGAACGAAGUGGCGCACGGGUGAGUAAUAUAUAGUUAAUCUGCCCUACACAGCGGAACAACAGUUGGAAACGACUGCUAAUACCUCAUAGUGUAGGAUGAGACUAUAUCGUAUCAGCUAGUUGGUAAGGUAAUGGCUUACCAAGGCUAUGACGCGUAACUGGUUGGAGAGGAUGAUCAGUCACAUUGGAACUGAGACACGGUCCAAACUCCUACGGGAGGCAGCAGUGGGGAAUAUUGCACAAUGGAGGGAACUCGGAUGCAGCUACGCCGCGUGAACGAAGAAGGCUUUCGAGUCGUAAAGUUCUUUUAUAUGGGAAGCGGUAUCUAACCAGAAAGCCACGGCUAACUACGUGCCAGCAGCCGCGGUAAUAC
rnacentral:rRNA from 1 species